rnacentral:rRNA from 1 species
UGAACGCUAGCUACAGGCUUAACACAUGCAAGUCGAGGGGCAGCAUUUCAGUUUGCUUGCAAACUGGAGAUGGCGACCGGCGCACGGGUGAGUAACACGUAUCCAACCUGCCGAUAACUCGGGGAUAGCCUUUCGAAAGAAAGAUUAAUACCCGAUGGUAUAAUCAGACCGCAUGGUCUUGUUAUUAAAGAAUUUCGGUUAUCGAUGGGGAUGCGUUCCAUUAGGCAGUUGGUGAGGUAACGGCUCACCAAACCUUCGAUGGAUAGGGGUUCUGAGAGGAAGGUCCCCCACAUUGGAACUGAGACACGGUCCAAACUCCUACGGGAGGCAGCAGUGAGGAAUAUUGGUCAAUGGGCGCAGGCCUGAACCAGCCAAGUAGCGUGAAGGAUGACUGCCCUAUGGGUUGUAAACUUCUUUUAUAUGGGAAUAAAGUUUUCCACGUGUGGAAUUUUGUAUGUACCAUAUGAAUAAGGAUCGGCUAACUCCGUGCCAGCAGCCGCGGUAAUACGGAGGAUCCGAGCGUUAUCCGGAUUUAUUGGGUUUAAAGGGAGCGUAGGUGGACAGUUAAGUCAGUUGUGAAAGUUUACGGCUCAACCGUAAAAUUGCAGUUGAUACUGGCUGUCUUGAGUACAGUAGAGGUGGGCGGAAUUCGUGGUGUAGCGGUGAAAUGCUUAGAUAUCACGAAGAACUCCGAUUGCGAAGGCAGCUCACUGGACUGCAACUGACACUGAUGCUCGAAAGUGUGGGUAUCAAACAGGAUUAGAUACCCUGGUAGUCCACACAGUAAACGAUGAAUACUCGCUGUUUGCGAUAUACAGUAAGCGGCCAAGCGAAAGCAUUAAGUAUUCCACCUGGGGAGUACGCCGGCAACGGUGAAACUCAAAGGAAUUGACGGGGGCCCGCACAAGCGGAGGAACAUGUGGUUUAAUUCGAUGAUACGCGAGGAACCUUACCCGGGCUUAAAUUGCAUUUGAAUAUAUUGGAAACAGUAUAGCCGUAAGGCAAAUGUGAAGGUGCUGCAUGGUUGUCGUCAGCUCGUGCCGUGAGGUGUCGGCUUAAGUGCCAUAACGAGCGCAACCCUUAUCUUUAGUUACUAACAGGUCAUGCUGAGGACUCUAGAGAGACUGCCGUCGUAAGAUGUGAGGAAGGUGGGGAUGACGUCAAAUCAGCACGGCCCUUACGUCCGGGGCUACACACGUGUUACAAUGGGGGGUACAGAAGGCAGCUACCUGGUGACAGGAUGCUAAUCCCAAAAGCCUCUCUCAGUUCGGAUCGAAGUCUGCAACCCGACUUCGUGAAGCUGGAUUCGCUAGUAAUCGCGCAUCAGCCAUGGCGCGGUGAAUACGUUCCCGGGCCUUGUACACACCGCCCGUCAAGCCAUGAAAGCCGGGGGUACCUGAAGUACGUAACCGCAAGGAGCGUCCUAGGGUAAAACUGGUAAUUGGGGCUAAGU